GGCUUUAAAAUGCUGCUUUGUUCCAAAGGCCGUUCUGCAAUGAUGAAGGGGGAUGAUUGAAAAGAGCUGGACUAAAUUAGUCUAACUAGGACACUUGAAGGCUUGUGAAUCAGUUCACACGAUCAGUGUGAAGAGCGGGUAUGAAGACCCAGAUGCUGGUGUGUGCGUGUGCGUAUAAGCCCCAACAGUUCUGGCGGUCAGAAGUCCGAAAUGGGUCUUACACGACCAAAAUCCAGAAGUCGACAGGGAGGAAGAACUGAGGAUCCUACAUCCUGUGAGGGAGCAGCGAGAGCACUGCAGGGAAACAGUGUGAAUCCAAGAAGAUGUCAUUGAGUGCAAACACAGUCCUGGAGCUGGGCCCGUUGGGCGUCAACCUCAGGAGCUAUUAAUCUACAUGCUUCAAUUUCAUCAGUGAUGAGGACAUCUGCAUGGUAAAGCCAACACACUGUAUCACGGAGCUGUGCGUAUAUCAGGCUAGAGACUCAGAGAAGCCAAAGGAAGAUCCAUGGUUGCUGGAGGAUCUGUGGUCUAUCCAUGGUUGCUGGAGGAGCUGUGGUCCAUUCGUGGUUGCUGGAGGAGCUGUGGUCCAUCCGUGGUUGCUGGAGGAGCUGUGGUCUUAGUGGUCCACAAUGUGAGCUCAUGAUCAUCAUCAGUGUGCAUGAUCUGCCAUUGCACCUACAGUUCUAUAUCCACCUUCAGUGGGCAAAAUAUGGCUGCUGCUUCACUUUCUUCUUCCAGAUCUUGUUCAAAUCUUUUUUGUGCCUAAAGGUAACCUGGAGCCACAACGAAAGUGAUUACGAGAAAUGGAGUUUAACUAAGAUGACCCAGUACAAAGUCACACAACAGACAUCUCCAUUUCUCUCCCUGAAAUGAGUUUGUAGGAACAACAGCUAUAAUCAUUCUAAACACAAUUUAAUCCUAGGCUUGGCACCAAAUCUCAAGGUUCCGGAAUUUCCGGAAGACUUGCUUAAGGGACUCAUUCUCACGUCUAAAUUUGGGAAUGGAGAAGUCAACUAAAUGGGAGAUCCUUAUAGAAACAAGACAGAAAGGAAGGAUUGGAGCUGGGAACUAUUUGAAAUUAUACUAAUGAUCAUGUCUUCUAUUGAAUAAAAAGCAACUACCAGUAAUGUACUAAGGAGUUUUCCAAAUUCCUAAUCCUCUCUGUUCCCCUCCCCCCAACAAAAAAAAAGAGAGAAAGAUAAAAGUAGCAAGCUGCUCUUUGCAUGAAGGAGUCAUUCAUGUAUUCAUUGACAAGAAGCAGCAGCCAAGCAUGUACAGAGAACCUAUCUAGAUAGUCAGGAUGGCUGGGCACUGCGCUAAUACAGUGUCCUACAUGGGGACUGUCUUCAAGAAGAUUGGAAAAAGGAUCAGAAUCCGUUCUCAGCAUGUUUGAACAGAAAGUUGCUAUGCAACAGCCUCGCACCUAAGCAAAAUGCUGGCCGCUGGCCUUCAGCUUGGGCAUGGCCCAGGGUAGGUGGAGGCAACUGACACCAAGGGCAUUCUCUCAGAGACAAGACAGCCCCUGGAAACCCCACUACCAGAUCUACCUGAGAUCCUUAGAUUAAAAAUUAUGUGCAAAUAGCUAUCAAAAAGUCAGAGAACACUCAACUAAAAGCAUCAUGAUCAUGAUCAUCAUCACCAUCAUCAUCAUUGACAUGACUCCUGCUACCCACACAAUCUGCAAAUAGCAAGACUUUUGUCCUUCUACACAGACAUGGAGUCCAGCCAAAUACCUCUGUGGCCUGAGGCAUCUGCAGAUCUGGACCCAGUCAACAGAGGUUGAGUGAUUGGAUGUGGGCCAGAAAAUUCCUUACUUUUAUUUCUUCCACUUGGUGGAAUAAGAACACUGUGUUGUCUUGGUAAAACCCACUCCUGUGCUUCUUCCCUUUGCAAAAGGCAGGCUGGACAUCAUUAUUUUGAAAACAUGACAUUUUUUGCAUUUGUGAGUUGGGUUGGGUUUUGUUUUGCUGGUGUUGUUUCCCAUAUAAUGAUUAUUCACAUACACCUGACUAAUCACUUGUCACAUUAAAAGUCAAAGGCCUCCCAUCAGGAAUUUAGAGGAUUUAUUUUCUCCACCAUGGAGUUCUCAUCAGGACUGACCUGUUAGAACCAGCUCGAUGGCCACAGCUGCUUGCAUGCCCAUGACUGCCACACAGUCCCUUUAAUCACUUCUCAGAGUCCAGAGAGGUCCCUGGGGAGGCUGAUUCCAUUGCAGGAUAUUUAUUUGAAGUAAAUUCAGAAAAUGGUGUCAUCUCUUGCCAUUUGGAUGCAGAAUAUCGUAAUAAUAUCUUUCCUAUUUGUUCCAGUAAGAUUCAUUUGACUGUAUCUGCUUUUAUUCUAAACUAGCUGGUCGAAGUCUUGCCCUGCUGUGGAUCACACAUUUUCCCAUGCAAGUUAAUUGGUAAUGCAAAAAAUGUACCUUAUAAUGGAUUUUUACUAGGCAUUAAAAAAAUAUAAUUGGCCAGGCACAGUGGCUCAUGCCACUUUGGAAGGCAGAGGCAGGAGGAUCGUUUGA